CCUACGGGCGGCAGCAGUGGGGAAUAUUGCGCAAUGGGCGAAAGCCUGACGCAGCGACGCCGCGUGAGGGAUGAAGGUCUUCGGAUCGUAAACCUCUGUCAGCAGGGAAGAACGGUCACUGUGCUAAUCAGCAGUGAAUUGACGGUACCUGCACAGGAAGCACAGGCUAACUCCGUGCCAGCAGCCGCGGUAAUACGGAGGGUGCGAGCGUUAAUCAGAAUGACUGGGCGUAAAGCGUUCGUAGGCGGUAUGUCAAGUCAAGGGUGAAAUCCCCGGGCUCAACGUGGGAACUGCCUUUGAAACUGGCAAACUGGAGUGAGUGAGAGGAUAGUGGAAUUCCAGGUGUAGGAGUGAAAUCCGUAGAUAUCUGGAGGAACAUCAGUGGCGAAGGCGACUAUCUGGCACAUAACUGACGCUGAGGAGCGAAAGCGUGGGUAGCAAACAGGAUUAGAUACCCGAGUAGUC
rnacentral:rRNA from 1 species